UUGAUUAUCUUAGAGCCCACUCAGACAACACCUAAAAGAGCGUGGUGGUCCUCUGGCGGGCAUGCGCCCGCCAAGGCAACAACAGUAUGGUAGACAGCGGGUGGGAGACACUGCCCCCUGGGGGGGCCUUCUCUGUAAUGAUCCUUCCGCAGGUUCACCUACGGAAA
rnacentral:misc_RNA from 1 species